GAGUUUUGAUCCUGGCUCAGAUUGAACGCUGGCGGCAUGCCUUACACAUGCAAGUCGAACGGUAACAGGUUAAGCUGACGAGUGGCGAACGGGUGAGUAAUAUAUCGGAACGUGCCCAGUCGUGGGGGAUAACUACUCGAAAGAGUAGCUAAUACCGCAUACGACCUGAGGGUGAAAGCGGGGGGAUCGCAAGACCUCGCGCGAUUGGAGCGGCCGAUAUCAGAUUAGCUAGUUGGUGGGGUAAAAGCCUACCAAGGCGACGAUCUGUAGCUGGUCUGAGAGGACGACCAGCCACACUGGGACUGAGACACGGCCCAGGCUCCUACGGGAGGCAGCAGUGGGGAAUUUUGGACAAUGGACGCAAGUCUGAUCCAGCCAUGCCGCGUGCGGGAAGAAGGCCUUCGGGUUGUAAACCGCUUUUGUCAGGGAAGAAACGGUCUGGGUUAAUACCCCGGGCUAAUGACGGUACCUGAAGAAUAAGCACCGGCUAACUACGUG
rnacentral:rRNA from 1 species